AUUUAAAUAGUUUAUAAAAAUAUUGAUUUGUGGAAUCAAAGAUGUAAGAGUUUACUUUAAAUA
rnacentral:tRNA from 1 species